rnacentral:rRNA from 1 species
UGCCUCGGCGGGGUCACGCCCCGGGUGCGUCGCAGCCCCGGAACCAGGCGCCCGCCGGAGGGACCAACCAAACUCUUUUCUGUAGUCCCCUCGCGGACGUUAUUUCUUACAGCUCUGAGCAAAAAUUCAAAAUGAAUCAAAACUUUCAACAACGGAUCUCUUGGUUCUGGCAUCGAUGAAGAACGCAGCGAAAUGCGAUAAGUAAUGUGAAUUGCAGAAUUCAGUGAAUCAUCGAAUCUUUGAACGCACAUUGCGCCCGCCAGUAUUCUGGCGGGCAUGCCUGUCCGAGCGUCAUUUCAACCCUCGAACCCCUCCGGGGGGUCGGCGUUGGGGACCUCGGGAGCCCCUAAGACGGGAUCCCGGCCCCGAAAUACAGUGGCGGUCUCGCCGCAGCCUCUCCUGCGCAGUAGUUUGCACAACUCGCACCGGGAGCGCGGCGCGUCCACGUCCGUAAAACACCCAACUUCUGAAAUGUUGACCUCGGAUCAGGUAGGAAUACCCGCUGAACUUAAGCAUAUCAAUAAGCGGAGGAAAAGAUACCAACG